rnacentral:sRNA from 1 species
AGACAGUGCCUUUCAGGCAUCCUCUCCCAAAACUUUCACGGCCCGGUUGGAAACUUCCGGGCCUUCUUUUUGCCACUU